AUUAUAUUUUGUUAUGUUUGGUGGGACACGAUUUUGAAAGGUACCUUUCCAGCCCUGUGUAGCUUAACUAGGGAUAAGGAUGAGAUGGUAACUAAUGGAUUUUCAUUUGGCGACAAUGGAAAUUGAAUUUCAAGAAUAGGAAUUGGAGGAUGUUAAGAUCUGUAGGGGAGAACCUGAUGGAAUCGACAUCAAUCCAAACAUGGAGGAUACCAUCAGAUGCUCAAAGUAGCAAAAACUGCGCUUUUCUGUAAAAAAUUUUACAACCCAGGAGGCUAGCUAGGACCAGCAGUUUUUGUACGUUUGUUGUGAAGAUCUAAGGUUUCUUAAAAGCCUUUUUUUUUUUUUUGUGGCCUUGAGAGGCACCUUGGGAGGCUAUUCUAACAAGGGGAAGCCUUAGGUAAAGAGGUUUUGUCUUUGUGAACUGGUGCUAUAUGUGUAAGGAGAUGGGUAGAGUUUGAACAAUAUCCUUCUUCACUGUCCUGUUGCCAGAUAGCUUUGGAGCCUGAUUUGGCAAUGGUUCAAUAUUGCAUGGGUUAUGCCAAAUUGUUUAUCUUCGUUGUUUCGCUACAGGGAAAGGGUGGGAAUGUCAACAAAGGUUGACGAUAGCUUGGAUCAGCGAACCUCAUGGUGUGAAAAUGAGCAAGCUGGCUGUAUCCUUGUAGUCGGCGGGCUGGCACCUCCUUGGUUCCCUUCUAAACAUGCCUUCUUUUUAAGAAGAAGAAAAACACUUGGCUUAUGCAUGGUUUCAUAACAAGCACAAAAUUUUGCAGGAAGGUUUGCCAAUUUACACUCAAGUUAUGGAUGGCGUUUAUGAGCCUACUGGAUUGGUAUAGUUGAUUGUUAUUUGAUUUUAGUUAUAUUUCUUUAACAUGAUUAUUUGUUUGUGCAUCAUCUGUUGGAAUUGAUGUGUUGCCAUUUGCUCCUUGUUCUUACUCUUCCUGUUCUAAUUCAGCUGACAUGGGUAGGGGCACGCGUCUGAGUGUUUGUGGGGGGGGGGGGGGGGGGGGGGGAUGCUGUGUACAUAAAUUUUAUGAAAGGCAAACAUAUAAAAAUGACUUAAUUUAGACUAAUAUAUGACUCUGGUUACAACUUACAUAAAGCAUACUAUGCAUGUAUGUACAUAUUGUACCCACUUCUGGCAUACUAGUUUUUGUUACCGUGAGUAAUACCUAUCAAGCAUUUUUAAUGAAGAAAGAAAAAGAGCAAUAUCAUGGAUCCUGCUUUGGAGGGCUAUUGGGAGGAGAUGGAGGCAUAUUUGGUAUCCAAGCGCUUGGGUCUCCUAGAUUAAACGCUGGGGAAGGGGGAGGAGGAGAGGAUGAAGGGAUAUUGGGUAUCCAAGUGCUUGGGUCUCCUAGAUUAAAUGCAGGGGGAGGUGGAGGAGCGAAUGUUGGGAGAUGUGGUGCCCAUGUUCCUGGGUCUCCCAGAUUAAAUGCAGGCGGAGGAGGUGGUUGAGCUGGCAUUGGAAGAGUAGGAGGAACAGGUGGGAACGGGAAAGGCAAGGGCGGUGGUUUUGUGAAUGAUGGUGGUGGGAAGGGGAAAGAUGGGAAAGGUGGCAAUGGGGGGAAUGGUAUUGUGGGCAAAGGUGGUAGCUGUGGUAAAGGAGGCCAAGUGAAAUUAAAUGGUGGAAAAGAAGGGAGAAAU